rnacentral:rRNA from 1 species
GAUGAACGCUGGCGGCGUGCCUAAUACAUGCAAGUCGAGCGAAUGGAUUAAGAGCUUGCUCUUAUGAAGUUAGCGGCGGACGGGUGAGUAACACGUGGGUAACCUGCCCAUAAGACUGGGAUAACUCCGGGAAACCGGGGCUAAUACCGGAUAACAUUUUGAACCGCAUGGUUCGAAAUUGAAAGGCGGCUUCGGCUGUCACUUAUGGAUGGACCCGCGUCGCAUUAGCUAGUUGGUGAGGUAACGGCUCACCAAGGCAACGAUGCGGAGCCGACCUGAGAGGGUGGUCGGCCACACUGGGACUGAGACACGGCCCAGACUCCUACGGGAGGCAGCAGUAGGGAAUCUUCCGCAAUGGACGAAAGUCUGACGGAGCAACGCCGCGUGAGUGAUGAAGGCUUUCGGGUCGUAAAACUCUGUUGUUAGGGAAGAACAAGUGCUAGUUGAAUAAGCUGGCACCUUGACGGCACCUAACCAGAAAGCCACGGCUAACUACGUGCCAGCCGCCGCCGUAA